UACGGGGGGGGCAAGCGUUGUUCGGAAUUACUGGGCGUAAAGGGUCAGUAGGCGGCCAACUAAGUCGGAUGUGAAAUCCCCCAGGCUCAACUUGGGAACUGCAUCCGAUACUGGAUGGCUUGAAUUCGGGAGAGGGAUGCAGAAUUCCAGGUGUAGCGGUGAAAUGCGUAGAUAUCUGGAGGAAUACCGGUGGCGAAGGCGGCAUCCUGGACCGACAUUGACGCUGAACGGCGAAAGCUAGGGGAGCAAACAGG
rnacentral:rRNA from 1 species